rnacentral:rRNA from 1 species
GUGGGGAAUAUUGGACAAUGGGCGAAAGCCUGAUCCAGCCAUGCCGCGUGUGUGAAGAAGGUCUUCGGAUUGUAAAGCACUUUAAGUUGGGAGGAAGGGCAGUAAGUUAAUACCUUGCUGUUUUGACGUUACCGACAGAAUAAGCACCGGCUAACUUCGUGCCAGCAGCCGCGGUACUACGAAGGGUGCAAGCGUUAAUCGGAAUUACUGGGCGUAAAGCGCGCGUAGGUGGUUUUGUAAGUUGGAGGUGAAAUCCCCGGGCUCAACCUGGGAACUGCCUCAAAAACUGCAUGACUAGAGUACGGUAGAGGGUAGGGGAAUUUCCUGUGUAGCGGUGAAAUGCGUAGAUAUAGGAAGGAACACCAGUGGCGAAGGCGACUACCUGGACUGAUACUGACACUGAGGUGCGAAAGCGUGGGGAGCAAACAGGAUUAGAUACCCCGGUAGUCC